GUCAUCUGCAGGACAAGCCUGGGCUGCUU
rnacentral:piRNA from 1 species